rnacentral:lncRNA from 1 species
AACAUGCCUCCUGUAUGUGGUUGAAAUUAAAUCAGCCUGCAGACGUUUCUGUAUCUCCUCUUUCAUGCGUUUUUUUCAAGAGAGGGAUAUUUCACAUUCCUGCCUCAAGAAGUCAAAGAGUAAUUAGUCUCUCCUUUUCAAUUGUUUCCUGGUUGUUUACGUGCAUAUUGAGACGAGGAAUCUCCUCAUGGCUAACAACAACAACAUGCCGCUGGGUUGGUUUCAGCUGAAUGCUUCCACCAGUACGAUAAGGUAUUUAAGUUUGGUUGCUCUUCCUCUUUCAUGCUCGUGUGUGUGUGUGUGUGUGUGUGUGUGUGUGUGUGUGUGUGUGUGUGUGUGUGUGUGUGUGUGUGUGUGUGUGUGUGUGUGUGUGUGUGUGUGUGUGUGUGUGUGUGUGUGUGUGUGUGUGUAACAAUGGUAUAAAUACUCUAACAAAGCCCUCUACUCAUGUCUGGGCACAUCUCACUUGAACUUUGACCCCUCACCUCUAACCUCUGCCUCCUACCAUCAGGUAUUCUUUUCCAUGCCCCAGGCAACUUCAUUACUAACCUUUAGACAUACGAGUUACCAUACCCGGUCUCAGGGAUGGCCAACUCUGAAAAUCUCUACAGAGUUCCCUACAACAGGAUGUCCAUGUAUGGAACAAUCUACAGAGUUCCCUACAACAGGAUGUCCAUGUAUGGAACAAUCUACAGAGUUCCCUACAACAGGAUGUCCAUGUAUGGAACAAUCUACAGAGUUCCCUACAACAGGAUGUCCAUGUAUGGAACAAUCUACAGAGUUCCCUACAACAGGAUGUCCAUGUAUGGAACAAUCUAGAGUUCCCUACAACAGGAUGUCCAUGUAUGGAACAAUCUAGAGUUCCCAACAACAGGAUAUCCAUGUAUGGAACAAUCUACAGAGUUCCCUACAACAGGACGUCCAUGUAUGGAACAGUCUAGAGUUCCCUACAACAGGAUGUUGUGGAACCUCUCGGGCAGUUCAACAUGUUGAUUGGAGACCUCUUUGCUGAUGAAUGUGAUAAUUUUUCUGCAAUGUAUUUGUAUUUUUUUAUGUAAAGGAUGUGAAGGGCUGCCUUGUGAAAAAUACAUUUGGACUGAAUGGGACUCGGUUUAAAUAUAUAUAUAUAUAUAUAAGGAAUCCAGGCAGCACCCAGUGAAAGGGGUGAAAGGGUUAGCAUAUCAGCUUGUGGGCUUUGGCACCAGGCCCUUAUUGUAAUUAACUGGCAAAUUGGCAGAUUAGUAGAGAAAUCAAGCAGAACCUGUCUGUUUGUUCGUACUGGCCGCCAGCCCUGCUUGAGUGACGGAUGGGCUGAAGAUCCUGGUGCCACUGAAUAGUGUAACUGUCAUGUCCAUGCUGGAGUGUAUUUGUAUUCAUUAUAAAUUCCCAUUACUUCCUGCCAAGGCAGCAGCUACUCUUCCUGGGGUCCGGCUAAAUUAAGGCAGUUUAUUCAAUUUAAAAACAAUUACAAUACAUUCACAGAUUUCACAACACACUGUGUGCCCUCACGCCCCUAAUCCACCACUACCACAUAUCUACAGUACAAAAUCCAUGUGUACAUGUGUGAAAAGUGCGAGUGUACAGCUGUGAAAGGCAGUGUGUGAUUAGGAAAUGCGACAGGGAGAUUUUGACGUCUUUAGUACAUUGUAAAUAGCAGUGCCUAUGGAGCUGGUUAGAGAGAUAUCGCCCUGUGUUUUGUUUUCCCUUCAAACAUGCCAUAAUUUCAUGUGGGUCGGGGGGAGUCCCACAGGAUGGUAUGGCCACAAGGGUAUUUCUUUAACAAAUUAGGUCCCUUGGCUCAUCUCUGUAACUCUUCCCUGGGCUCGGGAGAGGCAAAGGUGGAGUCAUGUGUCCUCAGAAAAGUGACCUGCCUGGCUGUCUACUUCUCAUCUCUUAACCCAGAUGUCAGCUGCACCGAUAUGUCAUAGGAAACACUGUUCGACUGACAACCGGAGUCAGCUUGCAGGCUCCCAGCCUUGUCACAAGGAGUCAUUAGGAGAACCUCUAAGAACUUUGCACCCCUGGAUUGACCUGAGCCCUAGGACCAUGCCUCAGGACUACCUGGUAUGAUGACUCCUUGCUGUCCCCAGUCCACCUGGCCGUGCUGCUGCUCCAGUUUCAACUGUUCUGCCUGCGGCUAUGGAACCCUGACCUGUUCACCGGACGUGCUUGUUGCACCCUCGACAACUACUAUGAUUAUUAUUAUUUGACCAUGCUGGUCAUUUAUGAACAUUUUAACAUUUUAACAUUUUGACCAUGUUCUGUUAUAAUAUCCACCCUGCACAGCCAGAAGAGGACUGGCCACCCCUCAUAGCCUGGUUCCUCUCUAGGUUUCUUCCUAGGUUUUUGGCCUUUCUAGGGAGUUUUUCCUAGGGAGUUUUUCCUAGCCACCGUGCUUCUUUCACAUGCUUUGCUUGCUGUUUGGGGUUUUAGGCUGGGUUUCUGUACAGCACUUUGAGAAUAUCAGCUGAUGUACGAAGGGCUAUAUAAAAAUAAAUUUUUUGAAAUUUGA